AGCAUUACCAUUUCAUGGGUCUGACACGUGGCCAAAGACUUUAGGAUGGGUGCAAGAAUUAAAAUCCUCUUUUGCAACCCAGGACUCAUUGUUCUGUAUGUGUUCUGAUACACGUAAGAAAGAAUGUU